rnacentral:rRNA from 1 species
GACGAACGCUGGCGGCGUGCCUAACACAUGCAAGUCGAACGGAGUGUUGCGCUGAUUUGAUGGUAGCUUGCUACUGGAUUUUCUUGUAACACUUAGUGGCGGACGGGUGAGUAACGCGUGAGUAACCUGCCUUACAGCGGGGGACAACAGUUGGAAACGACUGCUAAUACCGCAUAACAUAUUUUGAGGGCAUCCUCGGAAUAUCAAAGGAGCAAUCCGCUGUAAGAUGUACUCGCGUCCAAUUAGAUAGUUGGUGGGGUAACGGCCCACCAAGUCGACGAUUGGUAGCCGGACUGAGAGGUUGAACGGCCACAUUGGGACUGAGACACGGCCCAGACUCCUACAGGAGGCAGCAGUGGGGGAUAUUGCACAAUGGAGGAAACUCUGAUGCAGCAACGCCGCGUGAGGGAAGAAGGUUUUCGGAUUGUAAACCUCUGUUUUUAGUGAAGAAACAAAUGACGGUAGCUAAAGAGGAAGCCACGGCUAACUACGUGCCAGCCGCCGCCGUAAUAC